rnacentral:rRNA from 1 species
GACGAACGCUGGCGGCGUGCCUAAUACAUGCAAGUUGAGCGAUGAAGAUUGGUGCUUGCACCAAUUUGAAGAGCAGCGAACGGGUGAGUAACGCGUGGGGAAUCUGCCUUUGAGCGGGGGACCACAUUUGGAAACGAAUGCUAAUACCGCAUAACAACUUUAAACAUAAGUUUUAAGUUUGAAAGAUGCAAUUGCAUCACUCAAAGAUGAUCCCGCGUUGUAUUAGCUAGUUGGUGAGGUAAAGGCUCACCAAGGCGAUGAUACAUAGCCGACCUGAGAGGGUGAGCGGCCACAUUGGGACGGAGACACGGCCCAAACGCCUACGGGAGGCAGCAGUAGGGAAUCUUCGGCCAUAGACGAAAGUCUGACCGAGAAACGCCGCGUGAGUGAAGAAGGUUUUCGGAUCGUAGAACCCUGUUGGUAGAGAAGAACGUUGGUGAGAGUGGAAAGCUCAUCAAGUGACGGUAACUACCCAGAAAGGGACGGCUAACUACGUG